rnacentral:rRNA from 1 species
UUUUGUGGGGUGCUCGAGUGGCGAACGGGUGAGUAACACGUGAGUAACCUGCCCUUGACUUUGGGAUAACUUCAGGAAACUGGGGCUAAUACCGGAUAGGAGCUCCUGCUGCAUGGUGGGGGUUGGAAAGUUUCGGCGGUUGGGGAUGGACUCGCGGCUUAUCAGCUUGUUGGUGGGGUAGUGGCUUACCAGGCUUUGACGGGUAGCCGGCCUGAGAGGGUGACCGGCCACAUUGGGACUGAGAUACGGCCCAGACUCCUACGGGAGGCAGCAGUGGGGAAUAUUGCACAAUGGGCGGAAGCCUGAUGCAGCAACGCCGCGUGCGGGAUGACGGCCUUCGGGUUGUAAACCGCUUUCGCCUGUGACGAAGCGUGAGUGACGGUAAUGGGUAAAGAAGCACCGGCUAACUACGUGCCAGCAGCCGCGGUGAUACGUAGGGUGCGAGCGUUGUCCGGAUUUAUUGGGCGUAAAGGGCUCGUAGGUGGUUGAUCGCGUCGGAAGUGUAAUCUUGGGGCUUAACCCUGAGCGUGCUUUCGAUACGGGUUGACUUGAGGAAGGUAGGGGAGAAUGGAAUUCCUGGUGGAGCGGUGGAAUGCGCAGAUAUCAGGAGGAACACCAGUGGCGAAGGCGGUUCUCUGGGCCUUUCCUGACGCUGAGGAGCGAAAGCGUGGGGAGCGAACAGGCUUAGAUACCCUGGUAGUCCACGCUGUAAACGGUGGGU